CGUGUAGGCGGUCAGGCAAGUGGAAUGUGAAAUGCCCCGGCUCACCCGGGGACCGGCAUCCCAAACUGCCUGGCUUGAGUAUGGGAGAGGAUGGAGGAAUUCCUGGUGUAGCGGUGAAAUGCGUAGAUAUCAGGAGGAACACCGGUGGCGAAGGCGUCCAUCUGGCCCAAUACUGACGCUGAGGCGCGAAAGCUAGGGGAGCAAACG
rnacentral:rRNA from 1 species